rnacentral:rRNA from 1 species
GCAAGUCGAGGGAGAAGCUAGAGCUUGCUUUAGUGGAAACCGGCGCACGGGUGCGUAACACGUAUGCAACCUACCUUUAACUGGGGAAUAGCCUUCCGAAAGGGAGAUUAAUACCGCAUAAUAUCACGAAAGGGCAUCCUAUUGUGAUCAAACCUCCGGGGGUUAAAGAUGGGCAUGCGUCCGAUUAGCUUGUUGGUGGGGUAACGGCUCACCAAGGCUACGAUCGGUAGGGGGUCUGAGAGGAUGAUCCCCCACACUGGUACUGAGACACGGACCAGACUCCUACGGGAGGCAGCAGUAAGGAAUAUUGGACAAUGGGCGCAAGCCUGAUCCAGCCAUGCCGCGUGCAGGAUGACGGCCCUAUGGGUUGUAAACUGCUUUUAUAUAGGAAGAAACCCCCCGACGUGUCGGGGGUUGACGGUACUAUAAGAAUAAGGGUCGGCUAACUCCGUGCCAGCAGCCGCGGUAAUACGGAGGACCCAAGCGUUAUCCGGAUUUAUUGGGUUUAAAGGGUGCGUAGGCGGAUUUAUAAGUCAGUGGUGAAAUCCUGCAGCUUAACUGCAGAACUGCCAUUGAUACUGUAGAUCU